CUACGGGCGGCUGCAGUAAGGAAUAUUGCGCAAUGGAGGCAACUCUGACGCAGCCAUGCCGCGUGCAGGAAGAAGGCCUUAUGGGUCGUAAACUGCUUUUAUUUAGGAAUAAACCCCCGAACGUGUUCGGGGCUGAAGGUACUAAACGAAUAAGCACCGGCUAACUCCGUGCCAGCAGCCGCGGUAAUACGGAGGGUGCAGGCGUUAUCCGGAUUUAUUGGGUUUAAAGGGUGCGCAGGCGGGCUAUUAAGUCAGUGGUGAAAUCCCGGGGCUCAACUCCGGAACUGCCAUUGAUACUGAUAGUCUUGAGUUUGGUUGAAGUGGGCGGAAUGUAGCAUGUAGCGGUGAAAUGCAUAGAUAUGCUACAGAACACCAAUCGCGAAGGCAGCUCACUAAGCCAAAACUGACGCUCAUGCACGAAAGCGUGGGGAUCAAACAGGAUUAGAUACCCCUGUAGUC
rnacentral:rRNA from 1 species